rnacentral:rRNA from 1 species
AGAGUUUGAUCCUGGCUCAGGAUGAACGCUAGCGACAGGCCUAACACAUGCAAGUCGAGGGGUAACAGUCCCGCUUUCGGGCGGGAGCUGACGACCGGCGCACGGGUGCGUAACGCGUAUGCAACCUACCCUUUACAGGGGGAUAGCCCGAAGAAAUUCGGAUUAAUACCCCAUAGUUUCAUUUUAUUGCAUGAUAGAAUGAAUAAAGUUUCGGCGGUAAAGGAUGGGCAUGCGUAUGAUUAGCUAGUUGGAGAGGUAAUGGCUCACCAAGGCAACGAUCAUUAGGGGUUCUGAGAGGAAGGUCCCCCACACUGGUACUGAGACACGGACCAGACUCCUACGGGAGGCAGCAGUGAGGAAUAUUGGUCAAUGGGCGCAAGCCUGAACCAGCCAUGUCGCGUGCAGGAUGACUGCCCUAUGGGUUGUAAACUGCUUUUGUACGGGAGUAAAGCUAGAAAACGUGUUUUUAGUUGCAAGUACCGUACGAAUAAGGAUCGGCUAACUCCGUGCCAGCAGCCGCGGUAAUACGGAGGAUCCAAGCGUUAUCCGGAUUCAUUGGGUUUAAAGGGUGCGUAGGCGGACCUAUAAGUCAGUGGUGAAAUUUUGCGGCUCAACCGUAAGACUGCCAUUGAAACUGUAGGUCUUGAGUAUGGACGAGGCAGGCGGAAUGUGUAAUGUAGCGGUGAAAUGCAUAGAUAUUACACAGAACCCCGAUUGCGUAGGCAGCUUGCCAGACCAUUACUGACGCUGAGGCACGAAAGCGUGGGUAGCGAACAGGAUUAGAUACCCUGGUAGUCCACGCCGUAAACGAUGUUCACUAGCUGUAUGCGAUAUAUUGUAUGCGGCCGAGCGAAAGCAUUAAGUGAACCACCUGGGGAGUACGUUGGCAACAAUGAAACUCAAAGGAAUUGACGGGGGCCCGCACAAGCGGAGGAACAUGUGGUUUAAUUCGAUGAUACGCGAGGAACCUUACCUGGACUUAAAUGUAGGCUGCAUAGAGUAGAGAUAUUCUUUUCUUCGGACUGCUUACAAGGUGCUGCAUGGUUGUCGUCAGCUCGUGCCGUGAGGUGUCGGGUUAAGUCCCAUAACGAGCGCAACCCCUAUCGUUAGUUGCCAUCAGGUCAAGCUGGGGACUCUAACGAGACUGCCGGUGUAAACCGUGAGGAAGGUGGGGAUGACGUCAAAUCAGCACGGCCCUUACGUCCAGGGCUACACACGUGUUACAAUGGCCGGUACAGAGGGCAGCUACAUAGCAAUAUGAUGCAAAUCUCGAAAGCCGGUCUCAGUUCGGAUUGGAGUCUGCAACCCGACUCCAUGAAGUUGGAUUCGCUAGUAAUCGCGCAUCAGCCACGGCGCGGUGAAUACGUUCCCGGGCCUUGUACACACCGCCCGUCAAACCAUGGAAGCUGGGGGUACCUGAAGUACGUUACCGCAAGGAUCGUCCUAGGGUAAAUCUAGUAACUGGGGUUAAGUCGAAACAAGGUA